AUGGAUAUAUGUGUCUCUCUGAGCUGCCUUGGAAAAUUUUUGGCCAGCUGUGAUGUCUGUGAGAAAAGCCUCUGUGGGUACGUGUGUGUGCAUGCACAAUGAAGGACUGCUCUAAGGACAACUUAGGAAAAACCCUCCUUGUUAACCAUUUUUAAAACCUCCCUUAGAGGAGAGGCACUCAAACGUGGCGCUCCCCUUUCCCCACACCUCCCCACUCACAGCAGUGCCCCACAAGUCACAUCAGCCCCCAGCCAGAAAGCUGGGCUUUGCCUCCAAGGAUAGGUGUGCUCAUCCCACUGCCGCCCCUCUCCAUCCUGCAGAGGCAGCUGCCCUCGCCCUUGAGCCUUAUAGGGGAAGGCGGCCUCCUCCCUCACCAAGGCUACGUCCCCAAGGCAGCAGCUGUGAGAAGCAGGCAGGGAAGGGGAAAAAAAGUGAAGGAGAGAAGGAGGGGAAUCAAGGAGGGAGGCACAGAAAGCUGCACUUUCCUCUGAGCAGAGCAAGCAUCCCCUCGGAGGGGCCCCAGACCCAGGGGCUGCCUCCUGAGCCCUGGGCCUCCCACAAGGCAGGAGCAGCAUCUCCUCCUCCACAGCCCGGCAGCCACAGUGGGGGCAGCCCCACGUCCUGGCUUGGCCUGAAUGCUCCAUGCAGGCCUUGCAGGUCUGCAGUGAGGGGACAGAGAUGCACAGGGACUGAGCCAGGCUCAGGCACUGGUUUCAGACAGGAAACUCCAAUGGUCCGGGGCUGCUGAACAUCCUUCAUAAUGACAUGAUGCUAAAAGUCACUUUCUGUGACUUGAUUAAAGGGCUCAUGUAAAAGAUCUGCUGGGAUCUGCAGCUGUCAAGAGGAAACUGCAGUCAGAAUAAUCCACCAGGAUUUAUCAAGAGAAUGUUUUCUUUCAGCUUACCCCACCAGAGCACUUUUUUAACCUCGAGGAUGCUAGCUUUCCCUGAAAAGCUGUAAUUACACUUUUAAAAAGUGCUUUCCUGCUCUUAUCUUCAACUUAGUUGUGGGAAGAAGACACGAAAUCAGAUAGACACCCAGACUCUGGAAAGGAAGUACUUUUUACGUGGAACCAAAGAAAUAUCUCAUAGAAUCAUCAGCUCAGCUCUCCUGCAAUGCUAUUUCCUUGCAUUUAGCAGAAUUUAGAUCAAUUAAGUACUCUCUCUUUUAGUUAAGAGGGCUUUGAGGAGGACUAUCCCGCAUUCAACUUCUCAGUUCAAAUUUCCAAAGACUUUUUUUUUCUUCUCUCAACACAACAGUGACCACAGUCCAUUGAAAAUUUGGCACCUAAUUUCUGCAAGAGAUAUAAACCAUCUUCAGUGAAUGAGGUGUUGCCUACCAGCCAACUCUUAUUGCAAGUCACUGGGAUAAAGCGCCUGAGUCACCUUUUGAAAAGGGUGGUGUCUGAAGGCAGAUAUGCAUCACAGCACAUGUGGCCAUGACCAAAGUAGCUCUGAAUCCCUCCAUGGUGGAGCCAAUUAAAGCAUGUCAGCAGGCUCUACCCACCCAAGCAGUUCCCGGGGGAUUUUGGGGUCUCUGAAUUCUUUGCCUCACCCCUCUUCUUGCCUCAAAACACUACUUUUAUGACUCUGCAGAUGCAAACAUAACCAGUUUAUGAGAUACCAUGCAGAUGCACUAAACCAUCUAUCGCUUCAAUCCUCCUCUCCAUUUCUAACAUCCCUUUCAGCAUCCCUUUCAGUCUGAUCUCCCUCAAGUGCAUCCCCUGAAAUGGGACCACUCACCCAAAUAAUAUGUGACAGCUUGUGGUUUAGGGGGUGCCACUGUAGCAGCUGAACAUCUUAUGAGCAUGUGUGCUCAACAGGAAAUCCUCAUUCCAUGACAGAGCACUUGAAACACAGAAAGUUUUCAAGGGCCUCAACCAAGAAAAUGCGAUGGUGCGAGAAGCAAAGGCGAGAUGUUUUGCCUCUGGGGCCUCUGCUCAAAGACAAGCUGUUCCCACCCGUCUCUUCAUUAACUCAUAAACAGAAACUUUGGACCUUACCCAGAGCUCUCCCCCCACAGAAUAUCUUGCUUUAAAUUAUUUUUCCGAUAUCAUCCAAGAUCAUAUUUUUCCUUUUAUGUGUCCAAGUUGAAGUUUAUUAUAGUUUUCUACAUUGCUGAUCAGCUGUAACCCUUUCUAUUAUUUUCCUGUCCUUGCUACUAUUUGAAAUGCUUCUUACUUGAUCCCCUUCAAAUUUUAUUACUGCACUUCUCACCUCAUUUGUGUACCAAACCCAUUCUGCCUUGCAUUUAUUCUCACCAAACUUGAGGACACAACUCUUCCCUCUCCUCUGCUGUACAGCACCACCAGAUCCACUUUUUUCCAUCCUUUUCCAUCCACAGUUUGCCUCUCUGCUGAUGAAGUGACCCUAGCUGGGUUUAACCAGUGCCAGCCACAUUGUCCUUACCAUUAGUGCUACAUUUCUAGUUAUUCUUGCUUCUUCCCAAAGCCUUUGAAGUCGUGUAGAGACAAUUUGAUUCAUUAGUAUACCCAGCCUUGCAGUAACCCUAGCUUCUGCUUUAGUUUCUCUAUUAGAAGCAUAUGUUGGGUCUAUAACUUAGUGGAAAGCUCCACCCUCUGACUUCCCCACACAGUUGAAAUUCUGCUCUGCCUCACUGAACUCAAGAGGCUGGUGCCUUUCUGCCCUGGGUUUCCAUACCUGGCAAUGCCACCUCCUCCUCCCUCCCUACUGGUUUGGCAAACUUGUGAGCAAUAUGCUUUCUCUUUCUGCAUGUCUCCACACUAGAGGCUUUUACAGCAGUUCCAUACGUUUGCAGUUCUCUUCACAUUUUUUCAGAAGAGCUGUGAUCAUCCCAAAUAUUUCAUUACUGGUUUCAUGUAGGCUGAGGUCCAUCAGCAGCACUUCACUAGACAUCCUUAUGUCACCUUCAUUGUCCUUGUUGGGUCAGGAGGCAGGUAACCACCUCGUUUCUUCUUCUGGCCUUUGGGACGCAGGGCCAGUCUCUUCCAUGAGGGACCACUCAAAAGGAUCUCUUGCCUUCUUGACUCAGGUGGCUCCUCCCAGAGCUAUGUGCCACAUAAUACUCUCCAAAAGUGGCAGUGUUGGCACCAAGAAUAUAAAACGUGGCUUGACGCACAUUCUGUGCUUGGUCUUCUGGUCUGUCCUGCAGCUGUGCUAUGUCCCAUAGAGGGUUUUCACCUCCACUGAUUGCUUUUUCACUGCCCAAUGGGUUUGUCUGUUCCUCCAAACACAUGCCAAGACCAUCACAAACAACGACUAACUCUCAGAGGAACUUUACCUCAUAAAUGUAUUAAAAACCCCCAGUGUUUCAAGUAAGAGACCUCCUAAGAAACUCCAUCACAGGACCACUUGCUGCUCUGGGCAUGUAGUUUAUUCCAUUCCCUCUUUCCACUUUCCAGUGCUUUUCAUAAAGUCCUUCUUACCUGCCUGUCUCUUAAUAUAGAUUUUGUUUAGGAUGCCAAGCCAGCCUGCCUCAUGUUUUCCCUUGGAUCUGUUCCCUGCUCCUAGCCAAGGUUGCCUGUGGAUCCUGCUUUGAAGUUCUUCUGUGACACAUUUGCUGCUGUCGGUGACUCUUCCCUUGGCUGACGUCACCUUGGGGGUCCCUCUCCAGUGGGCUGAGAAUCACACUGCCUCUUUGAUCAAAAUGAAAUCCAUUUACAAGCGCCCAAUGAGCUGGCACAAACCGACCCCCAGGUUUCUAGACAAAUCUAGCUGAAAUAAAAAUAUGCCAGUUUUAACUUCAGUUGAAUCCUUAAUCUAGCUAAGGUGAACCCAGAAUAAAAAAAAAAUUUAAAAAUUUCAAUUUACAAGCACUUUCUGUUUGUUUAGCUCAAAUUAAUCCCGCAUCAUCAAAAUUGAUGCAAGAUCAGGUUAAAUCAAGGUAAGUGUCUGUACAGGGGUUUACCUCUGCAUUUUAGAAAGUGAACUUGAAAUUACACUUCAAAUAAUUUUUAUGCUUGGAAAAGGCCUUUUUCUAGAGACCAGCUGGGCCCUGAUUAUGAAUGGUGUUCAGCUCCAGCAGGUCUGGGUGAAGACUGUAGAAGCAGAUGGAUCUCAGUGAUGCUGGAAAUCAGACUCAGUCUCAGCACCUACGGCAAUUCAGCCUGCACAUCCUUCAAACCCCAGUAAAAGCCAGCUCUCAAUGGCUGUUCCAAGGAGCUGAAGUGGGCAGUCUCUAUGUUAGAAAAGGUCAUUUUUCUUUGUGAUUAUAACUUGAGACUCUGCAUGUGUUUGUGAAGUAAUUUUCCUGAACCCAAUAAGUACAGCAGUUGUCUAGUGUAAAAAUGAGGGGUUUCAGCCCAAGAGAUUACCUCCACUUUACUAAGUUUUUCCCUUUCAAGUACUUAUAACUAUUGAUGGCUAUGUCAAAUCAUCCUCAAAGGAAGGAAGGACGGAUGGAAAGAAGGAGGAGAGUUUUUGUAGCCAGCUGAUUUUGUGUAAUCCAUAUUUUCUUUAAAACUUCAAGUCCUUCCACAAGGAGGACUGUUCUGACCUCAGACAAAUUGUGGAAAACAGUUUGAAAUAAAAUAUAUUUGAAGAAUUAGGGAAGUACCUUCUCUACAUGCUCAGUUCUUCGAUUCCCAACCACUUCCCAAGCAGUUUGCUGUGGUGUCCUGAAUUCAUGUGCAUGCCAGAUGUGCACUGGCACUUGUACCCAUGCCCCCAUCCUCCUUCCUAUGCAAAGUCAUCUGUCACCCCACUAGCUUCUCACCUGCAGGAGGGGAUAACCUGAAUUUAUUUUUAUGACAAUCAUUUUGGUAACUGCCUUUUUCUGGUUGGUUUUCUUUGCUGUUGAGCCUGUAAUUUAGUUUUGCUGCCAUAAAUAGUUAACCCCAGAGUGAGAAGCUGUGAAACAAUCCCUGAAGGUACUUGGCUGGCAGUGGCCGGGUUUUAACACUCAGGUUUUCUUUUUCGCCCAAGACCCAGAGAAAUGAUGAGUUAUCAAAUACCACUGGGAUCACUGGUAGAACUGCUCUCUUGAUGAAAAGAGGGUGCAAGCUUUCAUGAUGGGAAGAAAGGUCUGGAAUAAAGAGAAUUUGAGCUCCAGCAUCACGAGGCAUCAGAUAAUCAACAUGGUCCCUUCACUUUCUCACCCAGUGGCAUCUUAUUCCCAGGCUGGUUUUAUGUCAGCACAGGGACACAAAGGCAGAAUUUAUGUCCACUAGUGUGCAUUAACUCCUGUCCUAACCAGUACUAAUUACCGCUAAUUAUGUGGGACAGUGUUAAUUCUUUUAGCAGCAUUAUCGCUGCCCUUACACUUCUGAAAGUGCCUUUGGGUGAGGCAGCUCACUUUGAAGAGAUAUUUAUGUGGGGAAUAAAUAUAGAGUAGCUAAUACACUGUAAAUUUACACCACUGGAUAGCAGCCUUUAAAGGAGGUCUUUGGGCACAAAGACAGACAAACCCUUGAGUAAGAACUACUCAAUAGAAAAGGUGGCAGGAUCACCCUGUGUGAUCUUGGGAAAGUAAUUUUGAUCUGGCAUUUCUCUUCUGUAAAAUUGGAAAAAUAAUAUAUCCCUAGCCCUCUCAAGGGUAUAAUAUUUAUUUUCUCUGCCUUGCCAAUCAUUCUCUUUGCUUUUAAAAAAUAUUCUCCAAACCCUAAUUGUUUUUAUGUGUUUGCAGUAUAAGACAUAAAAGACAUUAACUCAUCAUAUUUUUCUAUACUGUAUUUUCCCCAUUGUGCUGUACUGUUAAUGUGAGCACUUUGCUGUGCAGAGGCUUGGCUAUUUGCUGAAAGGAUGAAUUAAGACAUCUAAAAUGCUUCAGCAUCUUGGCUGAGCGGCACUGCAGAGUUGGAAGGUAUCAUUAGGCCAAAUGGCUCUUUUCUGCAGGAGGGAGAAGCCCAGAUAUUUUUCAGAGGAUUAAGGAAAACCAGUUCACAUUCCUUUGUGACCUCCAUCCUGCAAAUAUAGGGCAGGAGGCCACAGCUUUGAAUCACAAAACUCUGUUCACUCCCUUUAGUUUGGGUGUUUCUCUCCUGACUGGUAUGUCAGCAUUCAGCUUGGGAUGUCAGGAGACAUCAGAUGACCCCAGCCCACCCUGGCAUCAGCAUCUCUGCAGUUUAGCUUGGUGUUUCUCCUUCCAGAGUCUGCAUGGUCACCACGAAUAUGGUCCUGGAUGAUUUUGUUGGUGUGGCCGUCUCCUCCAGCAAGAGCACUAAGUCAGGAAGCUUUGCUGUUAGACCAUUAUUGUCUGGUCCCUUUGACCCCAACAAAGGGCUCGUGCCCACCAGUCCAUCAGAUCCAUGGAGAAAGGCCAAAAAUCAUCGCAUGGUGCUCUGCUAGGCAGCAGAGCUGCUGCUUCUCCACAUAACCAGUGUAUGCAUCAAGCCAGGCAGUCUCUGCCUCUGAGGGUUUCCCAUCUUUGGAUGGACCCUUGCCCCUGGGUCCCUCCUUCAGUCUCACUGGCAGUCAAGUGAUAUCUUUUCAGCCCCUCCCAUCACUGGCAUUUCAUUUCUUUUCCCUGGUUACUGAGCAGGUAGACGUGGCAGCGCAGUGCCUGUGAGCCUGCUCCUGCAGUGUUGGGGCACUGAUGAUCUCUGGGGCUUCAGAGAUGAUCUUCACAUGCCUAGUUCUUUAAGACACCCUGAAGAGAUGCUUCCUUCCAGAAAUAGUAUGCUGGGACACUCUUUCCACUUAUCAUACUGGAAAUACUUAUUCCAGCCUUUUUUACUGCUCAUGCAGCAAUGCCCAUGUCAGGCUUGGGGGUCUCUAACCUUAGGCAGGGCACAUCUUCCCUAGGCUGCUUGCUCCCGGACUUGUGUACUAUAUUUGCGGUUAUUUUCAUCCUUUCCCUGACCAUUUGGCUAUUUCAAAUCAUUUUUCUGAGCAUUUCUCUCAACAUUAUGUCCAGUAAACUGGAAUCAGAUGUACCACAAAUGGCUUUUUCAGUAAGUUAUCUUUAUAUCUGCAGAUGGAUGCCAAGGUUCUUGACCCUGAAUAAAGCAAUUUUCCAUCUGCUUUUUUGGUUUUUAGGUGAAAGAACAGGAGUCUUGUUUGCCCAAAUACAGCAAUACAGAAACAUGCAUCAGUGCUGGGCCUGGACUUCAGGCUGUUUCCUCCUCUGCCUUCCCCACCUACUUUUAUGAAUAAGAGGCAACAUUUGGCCUUUGCAAUCAAAAUGAACUUUUGCACUCACUUCUCUCUCAAUUCCUAAAAUUUUAGACUUAAUGAAAAAAAAAGGGAGUCUGCACUUUCAGCAAGUUAUCUUCCUUUUCCACUUUUCCCUGUUCGCAUAUGAUGCUUUCUCACAGAAGUUCCCUGCAAACCAACACCUGAAAAGGCUCAGGUGAGGGGAACAGAACAGCUUAUCCUCUCAUGCCCCCCAGUUUUAACACACUUACAAAUGUACUGACUUGAUUUAUGGGGCUGUAAGAAGUGGGACUGACCUCUGUCCUUCUGUACUCCCUGCCAAAGAGCCUGGGAGAGACAAGCAGCUUCUGAGAGGCUUGUUGGUUUGCGUUCAUCAACAGCAGCUGUCAGACAGCUCUCACUGAAGCUCCCCAUCCUUUCAAAACCCACACAGCUUUCUACUUCAUGUAGAAAUAUGCAGCAGUUUCGUUUGUAUAAAACCUGCAUGAAUAAAAAUUUAAUCUAAGGCUAUCACUGCUCUAACAGCAAUAAUUUCUCUUAAAGGCUCAAUACGAAGAAUACUAAAUACUGUCUAUAAAUAAGAUUGUAUUUAAUAGAGGAGAGAAGCAAUUUAAUAAGCUUACUAGUAAAAUCUUCUCUGCCACUUUCAACCCCAAUAUUGGUCUUCUUUCCUGAGCAAAACUGGCUUGUUACAAGAAAAACUUGGGCCCCAGUAAACUGUAAUUUUUUAAGGUGAAGUCAUUCAAUUCAAGCUUUCCUGUCCAAAAGGAAGAGGAAAAAUAUCAACUUAAAGGAAAUAUUAGUUAAUCAGAGGACAUCCCUUUCAUAAUAGAAGCUACUAGGGGAUUUAAAAGAACAUUCUAAUUAUAAUAGUUCCCUAAUUAUCUGCCUAACAUCUCAUUUUUCUGUCUAAUCCCAUUUUUAAUUAUAGAGUACCUUUUUUUGCCCAUCACACAACUGAAGUACUCUAUUUUACUGAAAAUAAAUCCAUUUAACUGGCGAUGUCAGACAAGAAAUAUUGUCACUGCACCCUGGAACGUGCAUGCUGUUUGGGAGGGAAAUGCCUUGCCAGUGGUUUUGGAUAAAAUUCCUGGAUGUUCCUUUUAGAAACAGUCUCAUUUAAAGCUUUCCAGGUUUUCUCAAGUAAAAGAAAAUGCUCUAAACCACACUGUGCUCUGCAACUGUGUCUGGCUGCAAAAGUUUUCACGCAUUUAGCUUUGUUUCCCAAACUCUUGCAGCUUGGCCUCCAUACCACUGAAGUUCGAUAGGAUCCCUGCCACCAGCUAAUGGUGGAAUAGGAUUUGGCCUUUGAACCAAGCCAGCAUGCAAUUUACAGAAAGGAAGCAAUAUUUGAGCUAUGUUAUCUAUGAGCAUCUGGUCAUCAAGAUCUUGCUUAGCGAUUAGCAAGCCAAGAGGAAACCCUAUGGAGGGGGGAGAGGAAAUCCCGCAAGCAGGGUUCCCAUUUCCAGCCCUGCCAUGAGUUUCCUGCCCUAUCCUCCAGCAAAUCUCAGCUCUCCGCUUCCCGAGAAUAAAAAAAAAAAAAGAAUUACCCUUCAGGGAAAUUGUCAGGCUUAAUGGAUGUUUAUAAAUCGCUCGAACAAAAGGUGCUAUGUCAGAGAAAAGUACUCAUCCCGAUGAUUAUUCAAAUGCUCAUUAAAAUGCAUUUUGCUCUAUCCUUUCCCUUGGUUUGUGUGGGAGGCAAUUGAAAGAUUUAGUCUUUGUGGGAAAGUGGGAGAGCUCAAGCACUUUCCUUUGGGUGUGGGAGUGGCAACUUUGGGGAGUUAAGGACCUUUGGCAUGCAGGUAGGGUUUCGUCCAAGGCUUUUAAGCUCCCAUCCAGGCUGCAAGCUCUGACAGACCCAGGACUGGCAAGUUCCCUCCAGGAAGACAAGCCAGCGAUUAAUGGUACCAACCCCUGCUCAAAUUUGCAUGUAUCAUUUCCUUAGCUUUGCUCCUGAUGGAAUUAAGGAUCAUCCUUUAGGGAAAAUUAUUCUUAAUGUGUAUUUAAGCAUUAAAAAUGAAUAUGCGUGUGUGAUAAAACUUAGGGAAUAAUUUAUAAACAGCUAACAUAAAGUGAGAUAUGGAAGAGCUCGCUGCCCUGCAAACCUGUGUAAAUGCAUGUAUAAUGCCAGGAUGCGUCUUCCCUCAUGGAUGUUUCAUUAUGUCUCCCUGACCCCUUCACAGCAGCUUGAUCUGCCAGGGUCUGCUGGCUAUUCCAGGUAUUAAAAGCUGAAGAAGACACAAUAUAACUUUUCAACACGUCAGACAGCAGCUUGGCACUGAGCUGGCAGCCUAGACACAGUAUUUUUCACCCUCUGCAGCUCCAUGAAGCUGCAUGUGCAACCACUUCCCCUCAAAUAGUAUCCAUGAUGAACAGGAACUUUUUUUCCUGCUGACUGAAAUAGCAGAAUUUCUGCAUUAGCUCUGAAAAUGAAAAAUAUGGAUAACCUGGGGAGGAGUUUCUAUCGAAAAUGCAAAGAAUUUAAUGCUUUUUGGGCUAAAAGUCACUGCAAGUAACAGUGAAUACUGUUUCUAAUUAAAGUGCACUUACUUGCUCUUAUCCUGUUUAGAGGAUGGGAGAUGCUUUUGCAGGGCACCAUGAGCGCUCCCAGGUGCAGUUCUCCCCACUCACCCUUGCAGUCGUCACAUAAAGCAUCAGUAGUGACCCCUCCAUUACCAUUUUGACUUCUACUUUUUUCCCCUCCCCUGGGGUUACUUUUUCUGUCUUGUCCUUCCUUUAUGCCAGGCAAACCCUCGUUGUCACUGCAGGCAGCUGCUGGGAUGAACUCAGCCUCCUCCAGUGUAUUAUACAACCACGUGAACUGGCACUUCUUGCACCUCCUCUGCAGAGGCUGGAACAGACUGUGCAAAGCAUGAACCAGGGGUUUUGAAGUGGCCUUCAGUGCUUGCCCCUCUCUCAUCCAGGACUUGGAUGUGAUACACACCAAGGAAACAGAAAAGGGGGGCAGACUCUGUCCAUUGGAGCCUUCCUGCCCCACUCUUCUUUCUGACUUGUCUUCAUUCACUGCCCACUGUGGUGCACAGUGACUCUACCACAUCCCAGAAGAUGGAAAGAGAUGGUUUUGCUCAAAUAUUGCCCAGCUCAUUCUUCUUUAAUAAAGAGAUUGUUUGGUUUCAUUUUUCAUCACUUUAUUUCUCAGCUAAUUCGAAGAGCAUCUGCUGGGCAUGCCUGGCUGCUUUUCUAGCAAAUCUAGUUGCUUUAGUCAAUUAUACUGGCAAGUGAAGGUUUUCAGCAUGGUAAACUUCCCUGUGCCAAGGGCUGAUGCUCCAUGAGACUGGUGAGCCUCAGGAAAGGGGCACCGUGACCUGAUGAGGUUGGUAGACUGACAAUAAGACUAUGUGAGGGACAAAUCUAGUCCCACCAGCAUCCCCAGGACAGACUGAGGUUGCUUAGGAAAAGCCUAAAGCCCCUGCAUCCCCUCGCAAAUCUGCUCCUGGUGUGACACUCUAGCUAAAUCUUGCACAUGCCAAGGCACACAUUCUUCCUUGUUGAGUAAUUAAAAUGCAGUGGGCAAAUGAUGGAGUAGCAGGAAGGUGGGGAUACUGAAGACUUCAAGCAGUGGACAGGAACUUGUUUUCCCAUUCCCUUCACAGAUGCGCUGUAGAAAUUUAAUGGUCAAUUAGAGCAAAACUUCCCUAUGUAUUCUCAGCACUGGCCUACAUUUCAAUUAGGGUGUUUGAUUUGGCACACAACACUUUGCUAACCUCACUGUGCUUUAUAUCCCAUAUCUAAGGUCUGAAACCUGGUCCUCAGCUCUUCAGAAGCCUCACCUCUACAACAGGAGCUGUAAGACCUUCUAAGCUUUUCUACCACCCUCCAUGGCCUUCAAGUCUGACAACUUUAAAUGAAAGAAGCUGGUUUUGCACAAAAAGGCAGGGCUACUCACUGAUGUCUGCAAGGACUUAGGAAGAGAGGGUCCAGCAUGGCUCCUUGGUGUUUAAGUAGAAGCUGUUGAAAGACCUCCUUUACAACCCAUAGUCAUCUUGCGGUUUUAAUAAAUUUAAAGCACCUUUUACCCCCUUCA